UACGGGGGGGGCCAGCGUUGUUCGGAAUUACUGGGCGUAAAGGGCUCGUAGGUGGCCAACUAAGUCAGACGUGAAAUCCCUCGGCUUAACCGGGGAACUGCGUCUGAUACUGGAUGGCUUGAGUUUGGGAGAGGGAUGCGGAAUUCCAGGUGUAGCGGUGAAAUGCGUAGAUAUCUGGAGGAACACCGGUGGCGAAGGCGGCAUCCUGGACCAAUAUUGACGCUGAGGAGCGAAAGCUAGGGGAGCAAACGGG
rnacentral:rRNA from 1 species